GAUUAAGUUAUUAAGGGCGCACGGUGGAUGCCUUGGCACUAGAAGCCGACGAAGGACGUUACUAACGACGAUAUGCUUUGGGGAGCUGUAAGUAAGCUUUGAUCCAGAGAUUUCCGAAUGGGGAAACCCAGCACGAGUUAUGUCGUGUUAUCGAUAUGUGAAUACAUAGCAUAUCUGAAGGCAGACGCGGAGAACUGAAACAUCUUAGUACCCGCAGGAAGAGAAAGAAAAAUCGAUUCCCUGAGUAGCGGCGAGCGAAACGGGAAGAGCCCAAACCAACGAGCUUGCUUGUUGGGGUUGUAGGACACUCUAUACGGAGUUACAAAAGAACAGACUAGACGAAUCAUCUGGAAAGAUGAAUCAAAGAAGGUAAUAAUCCUGUAGUCGAAAGUUUGUUCACUCUUGAGUGGAUCCUGAGUACGACGGAACACGAGAAAUUCCGUCGGAAUCUGGGAGGACCAUCUCCCAAGGCUAAAUACUCUCUAGUGACCGAUAGUGAACCAGUACCGUGAGGGAAAGGUGAAAAGUACCCCGGAAGGGGAGUGAAAUAGAACUUGAAACCGUGUGCUUACAAGUAGUCAGAGCCCGUUAAUGGGUGAUGGCGUGCCUUUUGUAGAAUGAACCGGCGAGUUACGAUUUGAUGCAAGGUUAAGCAGUGAAUGUGGAGCCGUAGCGAAAGCGAGUCUGAAUAGGGCGUUGAGUAUUUGGUCGUAGACCCGAAACCAGGUGAUCUACCCAUGACCAGGUUGAAGUUCAGGUAACACUGAAUGGAGGACCGAACCGACUUACGUUGAAAAGUGAGCGGAUGAGUUGUGGGUAGCGGAGAAAUUCCAAUCGAACCUGGAGAUAGCUGGUUCUCUCCGAAAUAGCUUUAGGGCUAGCCUCAAGUGAUGAUUAUUGGAGGUAGAGCACUGUUUGGACGAGGGGCCCUUAUCGGGUUACCGAAUUCAGACAAACUCCGAAUGCCAAUCAAUUUAACUUGGGAGUCAGAACGCGGGUGAUAAGGUCCGUGUUCGAAAGGGAAACAGCCCAGACCACCAGCUAAGGUCCCAAAAUAUAUGUUAAGUGGAAAAGGAUGUGGCGUUGCCCAGACAACUAGGAUGUUGGCUUAGAAGCAGCCAUCAUUUAAAGAGUGCGUAAUAGCUCACUAGUCGAGUGACACUGCGCCGAAAAUGUACCGGGGCUAAACAUAUUACCGAAGCUGUGGAUUGUCCGUAAGGACAAUGGUAGGAGAGCGUUCUAAGGGCGUUGAAGCAUGAUCGCAAGGACAUGUGGAGCGCUUAGAAGUGAGAAUGCCGGUGUGAGUAGCGAAAGACGGGUGAGAAUCCCGUCCACCGAUUGACUAAGGUUUCCAGAGGAAGGCUCGUCCGCUCUGGGUUAGUCGGGUCCUAAGCUGAGGCCGAUAGGCGUAGGCGAUGGAUAACAGGUUGAUAUUCCUGUACCACCAUUAUUCGUUUUAAGCGAUGGGGGACGCAGUAGGAUAGGCGAAGCGUACGAUUGGAUUGUACGUCCAAGCAGUGAGAUUGAGUGUUAGGCAAAUCCGGCACUCUUAAGAUUGAGCUGUGAUGGGGAGAGGAAAUUGUUUCCUCGAGUCGUUGAUUUCACACUGCCAAGAAAAGCCUCUAGCUAGAAUUGUGGUGCCCGUACCGCAAACCGACACAGGUAGUCAAGAUGAGAAUUCUAAGGUGAGCGAGCGAACUCUCGUUAAGGAACUCGGCAAAAUGACCCCGUAACUUCGGGAGAAGGGGUGCUCUUUAGGGUUAACGCCCAGGAGAGCCGCAGUGAAUAGGCCCAAGCGACUGUUUAUCAAAAACACAGGUCUCUGCUAAACCGUAAGGUGAUGUAUAGGGGCUGACGCCUGCCCGGUGCUGGAAGGUUAAGAGGAGUGGUUAGCUUCUGCGAAGCUACGAAUCGAAGCCCCAGUAAACGGCGGCCGUAACUAUAACGGUCCUAAGGUAGCGAAAUUCCUUGUCGGGUAAGUUCCGACCCGCACGAAAGGCGUAACGAUUUGGGCACUGUCUCAACGAGAGACUCGGUGAAAUCAUAGUACCUGUGAAGAUGCAGGUUACCCGCGACAGGACGGAAAGACCCCGUGGAGCUUUACUGUAGUCUGAUAUUGAAAUUCGGCACAGCUUGUACAGGAUAGGUAGGAGCCUGAGAUACGUGAGCGCUAGCUUACGUGGAGGCGUUGGUGGGAUACUACCCUCGCUGUGUUGGAUUUCUAACCCGCACCAUUUAUCAUGGUGGGAGACAGUGUCAGAUGGGCAGUUUGACUGGGGCGGUCGCCUCCUAAAGAGUAACGGAGGCGCUCAAAGGUUUCCUCAGAAUGGUUGGAAAUCAUUCAUAGAGUGUAAAGGCAUAAGGAAGCUUGACUGCGAGACUUACAAGUCGAGCAGGGUCGAAAGACGGACUUAGUGAUCCGGUGGUUCCGCAUGGAAGGGCCAUCGCUCAACGGAUAAAAGCUACCCCGGGGAUAACAGGCUUAUCUCCCCCAAGAGUUCACAUCGACGGGGAGGUUUGGCACCUCGAUGUCGGCUCAUCGCAUCCUGGGGCUGUAGUCGGUCCCAAGGGUUGGGCUGUUCGCCCAUUAAAGCGGUACGCGAGCUGGGUUCAGAACGUCGUGAGACAGUUCGGUCCCUAUCCGUCGUGGGCGUAGGAAAUUUGAGAGGAGCUGUCCUUAGUACGAGAGGACCGGGAUGGACAUACCUCUGGUGUACCAGUUGUCGUGCCAACGGCAUCGCUGGGUAGCUAUGUAUGGACGGGAUAAGUGCUGAAAGCAUCUAAGCAUGAAGCCCCCCUCAAGAUGAGAUUUCCCAACUUCGGUUAUAAGAUCCCUCAAAGAUGAUGAGGUUAAUAGGUUCGAGGUGGAAGCAUAGCGAUAUGUGCAGCUGACGAAUACUAAUCGAUCGAAGACUUAAUCAA
rnacentral:rRNA from 1 species